CCUACGGGAGGCAGCAGUAGGGAAUUUUCGUCAAUGGGCGCAAGCCUGAACGAGCAAUGCCGCGUGAACGAGGAAGGUCUUCGGAUCGUAAAGUUCUGUUGAAGGGGAAAAAGAGCGGAGAGCGGAAAUGGUCUCCGAUUGAUAUUACCCUUCGAGGCAGUCACGGCUAACUACGUGCCAGCAGCCGCGGUAAUACGUAGGUGGCGAGCGUUAUCCGGAAUGAUUGGGCGUAAAGGGUGCGUAGGCGGCCUGCUAAGUCUGGAGUGAAAGGUACCGGCUCAACCGGUACAGGCUCUGGAAACUGGCGGGCUAGAGAGCAGGAGAGGGCGGUGGAACUCCAUGUGUAGCGGUAAAAUGCGUAGAUAUAUGGAAGAACACCAGUGGCGAAGGCGGCCGCCUGGCCUGUGACUGACGCUGAGGCACGAAAGCGUGGGGAGCAAAUAGGAUUAGAUACCCCAGUAGUC
rnacentral:rRNA from 1 species